rnacentral:pre_miRNA from 1 species
UUAACUCAAUUUUGUAUGGACUUGGAACAGCGCCCCUAGUGGCAAACGUAGGCAAACGUUCCGACUCCAUACAAAUUUGAGUUA